UCCCAGUUAUUUCCAGUGGACAGAUCAUUAAGUAUUGUACAUCCACAUAUGGAUGUACACAAGUUACAAUAUCAUGUAAGGAUUAAGAACAGGGUUUCCGCCGGGCUGGAGCGCGCGGGCCACGGCUUCUCUGGGGACGCAGCAGCGAGAAGUGGGGACCUCGGCGUGCUGCUGGCCGGGACCCGGCCGGAGGGCGGCGGGGCGCGCUGCAUGACCCCGCCACCGCCGUCCCCACCCCGGGGCGCGCAGAUCGAGGAGGACCCCGCUGACUACGAAGAGUUCGAGGACUUCUCGAGUCUGCCCGACACUCGCAGCAUCGCCUCGGACGACUCCUUCUACCCUUUCGAGGACGAGGAGGAGCAAGGCGUCGAGAACGCGGAGAGCGUCCCGGAGGGCGUCCCAGAGGCGGCGAGCCUCCUGCGCGCCGCCUGCGCCAACGACGUGCGGCUGCUGCGGGCACUGGUGCGGCGCCGGGUGAGCGUCUAGGAGGUGCAGGAGACAGACCGCAACAGCCGGGGCAGGCGAUCAUCACCAACUACUUGUUGAACUAUUUCCCCGGUCUUGACCUUGAAAGGAGGAACGCGUUCGGGUUCACCGCCCUGAUGAAAGCCGCCGUGCAGGGUCGAACCGCCUGCAUCCCAGCCUUGAUGCUGGCAGGGGCGGAUGUCCACGCGAGGGACCCCCGCCGUGGGAUGUCGCCGCAAGAAUGGGCCACUUACACCGGCCGCGUGGAUGCCGUUCGCCUCAUGCAGAGGUUGCUGGAGCGCCCCUGCCCAGAGCAUUUUGGGGAAAAGUACCGGCCGGAGCUGCCGCCGCCCGGCGAGACUGAGAGGAAGCCCGCGGGCUCCAACAACUGCCUGCAGAGGCUCACAGACUGCGUGCUGUCCGCGCUCACGCCGCGCUCCGUGCGGGCCGGGAGGACAGGGGCGCCCUGGACCACAUGGUCAGGAUGACCACCAGCCUCUACAGCCCCGCCGUGGCUAUCGUGUGCCGGACCGUGUGUCCCGAGAACCCCUCCCCCCCGCCUCCCCCGUGCGUGGGGAAGCGGCGGCUGGUAGUGCAGGAGAUCCUGGCGGGGCGGGGGCUCCGGGAGCAUGAGGCAGAGGCGGCGGGGGGCGCGGGGCAGAGCCGGCAGACCGGUCCCGCAGACUCAGGCUCCCAGGAGGGCUCCCCGAGAGCCAGCCUCCCGUCCUCCCCGCAGCCGGGGUCCCGGGGCCCAGCUGCGCCCGCCCCCGCGGAAGUCCAGCCUCCUGCCCUUUCAGCGCCUGCGGCGUGGUGGUGCCCCGGGUCCGCGUCUUCAAGGCGCCCGCGCCCACCUUCCAGCUCCAGCGGUCUGCGCGGAAGGGCAGCACCAAGGACAGCGGCCACCUGCAGAUCCCCAAGUGGCGGUACAAGGAGGCCAAGGAGGAGAAGCGCAAGGCGGAGGAGGCCGAGAAGAAGCGCCAGGCCGAUGUGCAGAAGGAGAAGCGCCCGCCGCCCUGGAAGAAGAGGACGUGAGGGCCUGUGUGCCCCGCGCGGGGUCCAGGGCCAGGGCGAGGCAGCGGGUCUGGGUGCGGAGGAGGAGGCGGCUCCGCUGCGCGUCGUGCCACUGCUGCUCCCAGUACCACGGGGCUGCGCACGUUUCCAGGCUGCUCCCAGGAGGCGGCUGGGGGAGCCACAUCGAUUCGCCUGUCACCAGCUCCACCCCCGCCACACACGGCAAUCAGUACACCUAGCGGGCAUGUUGCCUAGAAGUCUCCUUUUAGAGAACCUCAACUAAGAUUUUUUUUUUAAAGAUCAAUUUAUCAAAGGGCAUUUUCUGCAUAAUUUUGUAUUUUUAAUCAUUAUUUAUCAAAUUUGCAACGUUUUACAAGUGAUAGGGCCCCUUGCAUCCAAGGUAGCUUUAAUAUACUUGCCCGAAGACCUUUUGUUUAAAAUACUGUUUCUAGAGAUAAAUAUUUAUGGUAUCUGUAUGAGUUCACACAGAAAUCCUGGGAUUCUCCUUUUUUGGCUGUUUGCUUUGGUGUUUUCUCCUCAUCGUGGGUGCAUGUGCACACUGAACGUUCUUUUUAAUGAGAUGAAGUAUGCCAGAUAUUUCUGUUUGAUGGAGGCAUUGACUCAUUCAGACACAUGAUCAAGUGAGACAGAGAGAUCAGAUGUUAUUGUAUCUUUUAAAAACUCUUAAUACAGUAAUAUAUUGGGGAAAAGCAUAUAUUGUCAAAUUAUAAAACAAUUCAAAGAUAAACAUGUAUUUAUUGCUAGAAUUAAACUCAUUUUAAGCAAGGGGUUUUGGAUAAACUGGAUAAAAAAAGCUUUAACUUAUUAAAAAUAGGAGAAAAAACUGUCAUUUGAUAAAAUGGGGGCAAAUUUAGUAAAUGAUUAUCAGAAAUACAAAAUUAAGCCAUAUGUGCUCUUACAUAAAUCGAAUUCAGAUAUCCUUAAAAUGUAAGAAAGCUGUAACAGAGUCAGGAGCCCAGAACGAUGCAAAUUACAGGAAUGGGGCGGAGGUGGUUUUUAGAACAGGCAAUAAGAACGGAAUAGGAAGUAAACUUGUUUUCGGCAAAUUCUCCUGGAGUGGAUGGGGAGCCCCUCCUUCAGACUCAGUUCCGAAGAGUCCCUUGUGUGGUUAUUUCUUUUAUUUUUCCUUUGAGGACUGCACUUGGUAUUUAGUUCAUCCUCGUGCUAACCUCAUAGAAUUUCCAAGACGUGGAGCCUUGGGCAGGGCAGUACAUGGGUGUGAUUUGCCUUGGGCCGCAAGCGGUGAGAGUUUUAUGUCCACACUUUAACCUCCAAAGUGACAAGGAGAUCACUUUUCUCAGUGAUCCAAUUAGAAUUUAUCAAAGAGCGUUUUCUGCAUAAUUUUGUAUUUUUAAUCAUUAUCAGAUUUGCAGCAUUCUAAUUCAGCAGGACAGGGUAUGAAAGCUAGAAGCUCAGGCAGGAGUUUCUAAUUGUAAUGACUCUCGCCAUGUGGGUUGUAGAGUAUCUGUCACAUAUGCACUUUAUUUCAGUAUUAAUUUAAAUACUUGGAUGCACACACUCACAGGCCUAUUUGGAGGCUCUGUACUGUGACAUCUAAUAACUCUAGGUGUGUCAUGAUACGGGGUGUCUGUCUCAGGACACAGGCAGGGCUGGUGCAGGCUUCUCGGGGAUCCUUUCCUCCUGGCACCAUCAGGCAUCCAGCAACCAGGAAUCUUAAACUAGCCUCUUGAAAAGCUCCACUGAACAGGACUGCAGGCUGCACCCAGGCUAAUGGGAGGUUGGUGUGAUGAUGAUACAGUGUUUAAGAUCAGAUUUCUGGCAUGAUCCAAAAAGGCACUGUGAUGAAUGCACAGGGGACUAGACCCUCUUUGAGAACUGCAGAUAUUAGUUGACUGUGGGUCACCCUCGUGGCCAAGGAGUUGGGAUUGGCCAUGUCCCCUUCGAGCAGGCGGGGACUGUGACUGACACCGGUUAUCUUUGGGGGCUGUCUUUGCUGAAUCCUCUGGCAUUGUGGCACCCUCCUGCCACAAGUACAUAAUUCACAGCAUUACCAAGUCACCACGAGCCUCACCCUCACCUCUGUCAACUGAGGACCCCGCCAGGCAGGACCACAGGGUCUCCCAGGCAUGUUUCUUAACACCAGCUACCCCUGCUGUGAAAGUUCUCAAGGCAUUGGUUGGGGAGCUGAGCCCUGGGCCUGUCCUGAAGCUCUGCAGGUGACUGUGCUCAGCCUGCAUGGAGAACUGCAGCACUAACACUGUGAUUGUGAGGGGAUAGGACACCCAUCCUGAGCUCCCACAAAGGGCUUCGCCUUCCCAAGAAUGUCUCAUUGUCGUGGGAACAGCCAGGGUCAGGCAGCCUCUGUGUGGAUUGAUGUGGCGUCUGACACUUGCAGGGUUGCCAGGCAUCCUGCCUGUUUCCACUGUGGGAAGUUGGCACUGGGAAUGGUAUGGAGCCCCCACUUCUACCCUAAGCCUGGGUGUCUGCUGCUUCCACAUCAAAAAUGGACAUUUCUGGUCCUGCCCAGCUGCUACCUCACCACAACCCAUGCUCAGAGUCUCCAGGGACAGCAUUCGACUGGUGAUUUCCCUAGGUCCCAUGCUGUUCUGGACAUGCUGCGGCCCUGCCCCUGAUGUGUUCCUGCCUCAUCCAGGUGCACAGGAGACCCUGGGGCCAGCACAGGGCUUGUCCAGUCAUGCUCUUGGCAUCCACAAAACAGUUCUAGAGAUACCUGCAUUUUGAAAACCCUCCCGAGCCAGCAAGCAUGGGGCAGGACAUGGAUUCUUUUGGCAAAUCUGAAGGUGAGCUGGCCACUUGCCUGGUGAGGGGAAGCUGCUAUUACCUGGCCAGUGUUUGCAACUCGAGGGAAAAUGACAGCUUCAUGGGGGGCUCUGGUGGGACUGGGAAGGCUUACCUCCCAGGCAGCUUUGGUGUGGCCUCAGUGGGAAGAUUGGAUUUUGAAAACCCACCAGACCCAACUGAAAGAAAGGUCAUUCCUGAUUGAGUUGGAGACUCCUGGGUCCCUCUCUCUAGACUCGUUCUAGCCGUGCUCUGUCUGUGGUCAGCCCUUCCCUCUGGCGCAUGAGGCAAGUCCAGGCAGCUGCUGCAGCUGUGCUCAUGGCUGCUGGCCCAGCACUUCUCCUUUUUGCCAUGUAGAAGCAGAUUUGCUAGGAGAGGAAUUUUCCAAGUUAAGGGACAUGUCACCAAGCCUCUUUCCUCCACCUGUGGGGGCGGGGUGGCUUCUGCUCUUGUUUCCUCAUUCUCUUUGGAGUGGGCAUCACAGGGGGCAAGCGGGCCCCCAGUCAGGCUCAGGGAGUGCAGGAGGCCAGGGAGGGAAGCCCAGAUGAUGGGGAAACAGAGCCACCUUAAGGGGGUGUUGUGGGGUCAGUGUCAGGGUGAUCUGAUGGGCCAGUUUAUACUUAAGCAACAUUAUUAUGUUCACCUCUUUUGGAUAAGGGAUUCCUCAUGGGAGGUGUAGUCAUCUGGUCCCAGAGGUGGAGAGAAAUGCCCCCUUGUCUUUCUGAGCCAUUUGGAAGCCCUUUCUUCUAGUUCUAGGUACUGAUAACAUGGGCCCCUCAGUCUUAGGAUGUGAUUGGGGCUGGAGGGUACAGGCUUCUUGUCCCUUCUCCACUCAGCACCAUCGGCAUCUGGCAGUCAGGGGCCUCCCAGUGGCCACUCCAAAAACCUGGUGUCCUUGGAGAACAUUUUUCCUGUGUGUCUAUUUUCAGUGCUUUGAACAGCUGCAUUCGCUCACUGAGGGCUCGUCCUCCCUGCACCCACCAUGUGCUUCAGGAAGGAGGGGAUUGAUGGGCACUGACCUCUUCUCCUCACCUGUCAGUGGCCACCACAGGGUCCCUUCUGGCUGUGCCACCACAUUCUCCUGCCCCCAUCACCUCAUCUCUUCUUCCUUAUUCACUUUUCCUUCCUUUGCCUGUUUUCUUCUCCCAGUUGGUUAAGUUCUUGAUCGUCCCUGGCACCACCUACCCUGAGGUCUACCAAGGACAGAAACGCCAGGACCUCUGUGAGGCAGUGUGGUGUCCCUGUGGGGUUACCAUCGUGGGACCUCCUUGAUCCCAGAGUGAAUGAACAGCCGGCCAGCCAGUGUCUGUGCUGAUGUCUUUGAAUUACUACACAGCUCCUCCUCUUUGCUGGGAAGGGAGAGUCAGCCCAGCCCCUGCUGCGCACAGGGAUAGGGCUCCCUGAUGUUUAUUAACUGUUGAUAGUGAAUUUCAAGUUGACAGGUACCUUCUCAGGGAUUUAUAUAUAAAUGUAGUUAGAGGAAAAGUUGAAGUCUAUUUUACUACUUUUUAGUGUUUGAGUAAAUUAUACUUUAACUGGACAGAAGAAAUAUUUCUCAGACAAUGUCUAUGCUGCUGAUUACAACUGAGAUGCCUGGAGCUCACCCCUUGAGGGAGACUUCCUUGGUGAUUAGAGAUUUGGGACUCUGGCAGUGGAAAUGGCUUUGGGGAGGGUGUGAAGUCAUUUCAUUCCCUCUGAGUUGCCUCUUGUGGAUGGAAUGUAUGUGUCAACAACAAUGAAAUCCACCUCCAUGUGCGUGGAGGCGGCUGAUGAGAACAGAUGGGCCAAUCCUCACUCUUCCCUCCAGAACCGGCUGCUCCGGUCUGACGUUGGAGCACAUGAACAAACAGUGACCAUUUUUUUCUAUUUGCUUCUGUGAAUAAAGUGUUCUACAGUCAGCCCAGCACUAAACUCACCAGAAGGGAGGAGGGCACGGUAUGAAGCCGCUCAUCUGGAAUUACCUUGGUGUGCAAAGGCUGUCCCUUGGCCGCACUUGGAAAACACAGUGGGAAACGUCGUGGGCGUCUUUCUUCCUCUAGCUCCAGACUCCUGGCAGUACUGGGGACCUCAGGACUAUGGAGAUCAGAAUUGCAGUGGCUUUGUCAUCUCAGCAUGGCCACUCCUGAGACAAGAGGCUCCUCCUGGGAGCAGGAGAGAGGAAGUUCAUGAUGUUGAUUGGAAAACAGGAUUUAUGGAUGCAGGAAGAGGGGCUGUGCUGGACCCCUCUGCCCACUUCUCUCCCUGCUGUCAGUGGUGACCAGGUUUCUGGAGUGGAGAAGAGGCUGCUGUGAGUGAAAGAGAAGCCUCUGGGGUAGGGCCAGACCCCAGGCCUGAAAAGGAUGCAAAGCCUGCUGCUUUCAGGCUGUUGGGUACCAAGCAAUUACGAUGAAAUGCAUCCCAGAGAGAAAAUGAAUGAGCCUUAAGAAGUGGGCCCGACACGCCCCUGGUAGCCCUCCUGCAAGAACACUACACUGCCCCCAGCCCGCCGUCCACACUACAUGAUGUGGGAAGGCUGUCUGUCCAUCCUUACCCUGGGGAGCCACAUCUGGUUUGCACACUGAGUCACAGCCCUGACGUGCUCCCUGUGUCUCCCCAGAUGCACCCAGAGACUCAGGCUUGCUCACUUGCGUCCUGACACAGCUCGCUGUUCCCUCAGUGGUCAGUCCCCCUGUGCUGUGUCAGCUCUCAGACACCACUGGUCUUUCACAUGCUACAGCACAAGCACUUUUUCCCUUUCACAGUAUUUGGGGAAAUUCUAACAUACUCCCCGGGGAUUUGCACAGGUCCCUCCACCUCCCACGGUGGGUAGCUGUGUAGAUUCCGCACCUGGCAGUCGGCAAUCUGCCUCGGAAGCCACCAGGGGGCCUGUUUCUUUGGGCCUGGUCCUUGGCUUCUACCGAAGCCCCUUUCUGUCGGCACAUGCCUGGAGGGCCACCGUCUGGGGAAGGACAGGGAGGACCCUGAACAUGACACAUCCGUCUGAAACAACAAAGUCACAUGGAGGACGACAGCUGCAGUGGGGCGGAUGCCAGUGCAGCAGGCAUGCCAGGAGCUGCCGAGAGCUGACAACAAGAACGGUUCCUGCCAAGGCGUGGCUUGCAUCUCUCCCCUUGGGUGUAACUCGAGUCAGCUGCUUUCUGUGCCCUUGCACUCACGGGUUCCUUCAUUAACAUUUUAAAUAAGUGACUAAAAAAACUCCUCUGGAGGCUGUUUUUGAAAGAAACGGGAUAAAGAAAAACACACACACUACUUGGGUUGAUGUGACUAAUUAUCGAGUGACUUGGUUGAAGGCCGGUGUUGCAUACACGGUUUCCUCAUGCUGACCCAGCCCAAAAUAAGACUUGAUAAAAGGUACAGCCCUCAGCAGCAGGCGGUGCCAACGUGGACGCCUACGCUAAGGUGUGAUAUGUGCGCAGGCAAGCCCACGCGUGGAAUGAACUGAAAGGGCACUCGGGCUUUGUGCUGGUAAAGGUGAUGAUGCUGCCGUUGCUUGGCUGUGGGCCUCAGGCAGGGGCAGAUGGGACCUGCUUUGAUGGCAUGCUGUUCAGUGGACUUGUGGGGUCUUGCACGGUCCCAGGACCCACUGUGAGCACCCUGCCCACUGUGGCACAGAACACAGCUGGAGUUGUCAUAACACAGGUCUUUAUUAAAAGGCAGAGUUGACCCAGGCGGCUCAUCUAGAACCCCUUUGGCUCAUCUAGAAUGCCUUGGCCACAUGGAGGCACUCAGAUCCAAGGGCCCCAGGCCCAGGAGGGUUCUUUCCCCCCUGGAAGAGCUCCCCAGGCAUUCAGCCCUCUGCAUGUGGCUGCAGGUUACCCUCAGAAUCAACAUCUCCCUGAGGAAGCCCUGGUAUUUUCCCUGGUCUGCCUACAUAUCAGAUACUCUAAUCAGUGCUAACACAG